rnacentral:rRNA from 1 species
CCUACGGGCGGCAGCAGUGAGGAAUAUUGGUCAAUGGGCGGGAGCCUGAACCAGCCAAGUAGCGUGAAGGAAGAAUGCCCCAGGCGUUGUACACUUCUUUUGUCGGGGAAUAAAGGGAGCCACGCGUGGCGUUGUGAGUGUACUUGAUGAAAAAGCAUCGGCUAACUCCGUGCCAGCAGCCGCGGGAAUACGGAGGAUGCGCGCGUUAUCCGGAUUUAUUGGGGUUAAAGGGUGCGUAGGGGGGUCGGGAAGUCAGUGGGUAAAGGUCUGGGCCCAACCCCGUGAGAGCAGUUGAUACUGUCAGACUAGAGAACGGGUGAGGUACGCGGAAUGCGUGGUGUAGCGGUGAAAUGCAUAGAUAUCGCGCAGAACUCCGAUUGCGAAGGCAGCGUACCGGAGCGCGACUGACGCUGAGGCACGAAAGCGUGGGUAUCGAACAGGAUUAGAUACCCUGGUAGUC